rnacentral:rRNA from 1 species
AGAGAGAGACAUGCGCGCAUAUCAAUAAGCGGAGGAAAAGAAACUAACAAGGAUUCCCUUAGUAACGGCGAGUGAAGCGGGAAGAGCUCAAAUUUGAAAUCUUCAAGGUUUUACCUUGACGAAUUGUAGUUUAAAGAAGUGUUUUCCGUUGAAGUUUUGGUAAAAGUUCUUUGGAAUAGGACAUCAUAGAGGGUGAGAAUCCCGUAUUUGACCAUUUACUUUCAGCUUUGUGAUACACUUUCAAAGAGUCGGAUUGUUUGGGAAUGCAGUCCAAAAUGGGUGGUAAAUUUCAUCUAAAGCUAAAUACUUGGCGAGAGACCGAUAGCGAACAAGUACCGUGAGGGAAAGAUGAAAAGAACUUUGAAAAGAGAGUUAAACAGUACGUGAAAUUGUCAAAAGGGAAGCGUUUGACACCAGUGUUGUUUUCUCGAAAAUCAAUUAAAAAAGGCAGGAUUUUGUGUUGUAUUGACUUUAUCAGCUUUCUGCACUCUCUUCUUGUCUUUUUUAAUGCACUUUUCGUUUAACAAGUCAACAUCAAUUUCUUUUGUUGUAAAAGGGUCAUUGGAAGGUGGCUUUCUUUUCGGAGAAAGUGUUUAUAGCCUUUGGCCUCUGCAAUCGGAGAGAUUGAGGUCUGCAGCGUAGAUCCUUCGGGGUUAGAUACAUUUGUGCUAAGUUAUAGCCUUUCAUAGACAACUUGUUGACUAUGAUCAGUCAUGUAGCUUACUCGCUUAUGCUAUUUUACCUACGCUUAGGAUGUUGAUGUGAUACUGCGAGCA